rnacentral:lncRNA from 1 species
UUUGGUGCUCUGAAUUUAUUUUCUCCAUUUCAAAAUUUAUUCAGUACAAAAUUCUAAUUUCUUUUAAUAGACCAUACUAUGUUGCUAUAUUGCUUUUCAUUUGGCAUCUUUAUGCUUGUAUGAAUUGAUUAUUUCUAUGGGAUUGAGAUUCCUUUUUAUGAGUAGAUGACUUGUUUUGGAACUAUGGUGCUUGCUAUUUACUUGUAACUCUUUGCUUUUAUAAACUCUAAACAACUGGCUGGUUAUGAUUUUAAGCAGCCAUUGUUGCAAUAUCCCAUGCAUAUUUUGCUUUUUCUAGAGAAAGAAUUACCUCUACAUGGAGGACUCUAUUUGUAUAAAGUGCUAAUUUUUUUUUUUUACUCUGGCCAUCCUAUGAUGCAAUCCCGUUCGUAACUCUGAUUUCCUACCAUUCCCAUUGCUAUUGUCCUUAAAUUUACUUCACUGAUUUGCAGACUGAUCUGGCCAACAUUCAAAAGAAAAAGGAUGAAGAAAAGGUAAGAGACAAUGGAUAUUACUUUAAAAAAAAAGGAAAAGAAAAGAAACUGGAUGUUUUAUCUUGUUUAUUACCUUUUGCAAUAGUGAAAGGCGACUAAUUUGAUUAUUCUUGUGAUGAGCAGGCACUUAAGGAGCUCAGAGCCAAGGCACAGCAGAAAGGGAGCUUUGGAGGUUCUGGGCUGAAGAAAAGUGGGAAGAAAUGAAGAUUUCAAACCCAGAUAGACAUGGUUUCCUUUAGUGUAUUCUGAACUAUAUUAUGAUGAUAUCUCGUGUUUAGUGUGAUGGUCGCUGAUGUCCUAUGCUUGAUGUGUUGGUCUUCAUCUUGAGCCAGAAUUACGUAAAACUUUAUAAAUUGUGUGCAUCUGUCCUCUAUCCAUGUGCCAACAAUGUAUUUGCUGGCAUUGUUGGAAACUUUGUUCUAUGUAACUCGUUUGCAAUUUGUUGAUUGCGCUUAGUAAUAAUGGUCUCCUGGGUAAUUGAUUUCCUGAGGAUGUGUUUCCCUUUUAAAUUGCAUUAAUGUGAAAAUUGCCCUCGCUG